rnacentral:snRNA from 1 species
GUGCUGACUUCGGCAGCACAUAUAGUAAAAGUGGAAUGACACAGAGAAGAUCAGUAUGGCCCCUGCACAAGGAUGACACGCAAAUUUGUGAAGCGUUCCAUAUUUUU